GGCACCGUGGCCUAAUGGUAAGGCGUUGCUUUCCGGUUAUUCUCUUUCUUUGUAUGGCAAAGAUUGUGGGUUCGAGUCCCAUCGGUGUCG